ACAUGCUUACAACAUAGCGUUAAUGCACUGGAUCCCAUUAGCACUUCACAGUUAAGUGCACUUGGGAUAGAGUAGUACUAGGAUGGGUGACCCACCUAGGAAGUCCUAGUGUUUUACAUGCC
rnacentral:rRNA from 1 species